ensembl:lncRNA
GGAAAUAUAAAUAACUGCAACUUGAAUCUUUACUGAAGCUCAGUAUUUGACACAGAGUUCAAGGUCACUGCUGUAAUAAAUCAUAAUAAUCUGACAAGUAAGAUGACUUUAGUCUCAUGAACAACAUUAGCUAAUUGUUAUUUACUAGCUAAUCUUAAAAUGACUGUUCAGUACAGAAAUGAAGCCCAACAAUCAUGUUUUACAGUCCCGUGGUUUCAGCCUCUAACUUCCGCACUUCUCGUACUUAUAGGGCUUUGGAGCGUGAUGUCACGGGGUGGGCGUGGAAAGGAUUUUGGCCUGAUGCACCAUUUUCCGGGUCCAAACAAAGCGCAAGCGAAAAAGGAGCGAAGGCACACACAACAGCCAUGCAACAUGAGGCAGCUUGUGUAUCGGUUGUUACCAAACGAAGGCGUCUAGUCUGGAUAGCAGCUGUGAGACGAGCUGAUAUCCAGCUCUCUUCCAUCUCCAAAUAUCUGUUGGUGCUCCAGACAUUCCGCAAACCAGCCAAUGAAAUGGAUGAAACACAUCAUGACUGGGUUCCAGCGCUACAUAAGGGACCUGCUUCAAACAUACCACCAUGCC